GACGAACGCUGGCGGCGUGCCUAAUACAUGCAAGUCGAGCGCAGGAAGCUGACGGAACUCUUCGGAGAGAAGGCAGUGGAAUGAGCGGCGGACGGGUGAGUAACACGUAAGGAACCUGCCUCAAGGAUUGGGAUAACUCCGAGAAAUCGGAGCUAAUACCGGAUAGUUCAACGGACCGCAUGGUCCGCUGGUGAAAGGCGCUUCGGCGUCACCUUGAGAUGGCCUUGCGGUGCAUUAGCUAGUUGGUGGGGUAACGGCCCACCAAGGCGACGAUGCAUAGCCGACCUGAGAGGGUGAUCGGCCACACUGGGACUGAGACACGGCCCAGACUCCUACGGGAGGCAGCAGUAGGGAAUCUUCCACAAUGGACGAAAGUCUGAUGGAGCAACGCCGCGUGAGUGAUGAAGGUCUUCGGAUCGUAAAACUCUGUUGUAAGGGAAGAACACGUACGAGAGGGAAUGCUCGUACCUUGACGGUACCUUACGAGAAAGCCACGGCUAACUACGUGCCAGCCGCCGCCGUAA
rnacentral:rRNA from 1 species